UAAGCUGUGCUGCUGGAGCCCUUGCUGCUCGACCUUCCUUCCUUGUGUUGCUUCUGUUCUCAGGAAAGUCUCUCUCUGCCUGGAGACUUUUAAAAAAAAAGUCUCCAGGCAGGGAGAAAGCUCAGCACAGAUGGGCCUUUGGAAGCAUGGCUCUGAGUGCUGCCUGCUCUCCUUACGUUAAUUUUCCUCAGGUUUUUUAAUGUUCUAUCACAAGAGGCUGUCCAGCUGGAAGGUGCUUGGAACCAGAUUUUAGGGUGUUGUGUUUCAGUGGUGCUAAUAGUUAAUUAUACAAAGCUAAAGGAAUUGUGAUGUGAUGAGAUGAUGCUUAAAUUGUUUAUGUGUAUGUUUGUGGUUUCAUGCCAGUAGUUAAUGCUUUGUAACCUGGGUAGCUCACAAAAUAAAAUGCCUGAUAACAGCAGAAUGCCAAGAUGUAGUUGUAGUAACCCCUUGGAGGCAAGAUUUAGGGCAAUACAAUUGCAUAAGUAAGGCUGACCCUCAGGGAGUGAUCUCUAUAUAUUGUAAAGUUUUAAGUAGGCCAGGUGAUGUCUUUAAAAAACUCUGUGAAGGGUAAAGUAAAAUAGUGAGUAGAGAUGGGUUGACUUCACAUUUCCUUUGCUGUUUUUGCCCUUCUUUCUGUGCUCACUCUGCUGAAUGUGUUUAUUUUGGAGCACCAUGACACAGCGCAUAACACUGUGACAAAUGAAGUGCUGAUGUGAAAAUAAUAAUUGCAUAUAAAAUAUGGUUGUACUUAUGUUGCCAAAGAGAAGAUUCAGAACCACAUUGAUGUUGUUUUUCAGGCAUUUGCUGUUUUGGCUCACAAUAGCUCCGCACUUUGCCAGGGAAAUGCAAAUCAAUCCUGCCAAGUUCAAGCUUCUGUUGGAAAAGGAACUGCCUUGUCAUUGUUGUCCUGUUUAUGGGAGUCUGAGCUGGUCUAAGGCUAGCAAAGGAUACCUGAAGAGUUUCUGGAGAAACCUGGAAUCUUGAAAUUCAGUACUGGUCCGAAAAUGCUAAGAGGAAUGGAAGGCUGCUCGGGAAACUAAAUAAAUAAAGGGUGACCGUGAAGUUCA
rnacentral:lncRNA from 1 species